AUAGGAGUCUGCUCGUUGGUUUCAGGUGUCUGGCCAUCGCCUUCCAUUCGCCCCGCGCCCGAUGCUGCAAGAGUCAUCUCCCACACUGACUGGAUACAUGAAGACUUUCCCGUAAACGAUAUCUCCCCCGCUAUAACGGGCCGGAAGAUAAUUACUGCGUUGACGUGUUGAUAUACAUAUAUUUAAAAUAUCAAAUAUGAAUCAUGCAUUUGAUAUUUCUAGCAAAUUUGCUCGUGAGCAUCCUUGCAGCCGGACUCCAUUCAUCCAUAGCAUCAAUCGGAGGAGAGAAUGAGGUGGUGGAGAGAGACGCAGAACCAUUAUUGUCGGAGCGAGAGGCAACUGCAGCAGCGGCCACAGACAACACAAGUCACAGUGCGGCUGAGCAUGUGAUCACUUACCCCUCUCGGCUCAUCUAUUACCUGAAGGAGGACUCAGAGAGCACUUACCAUGACCUGGACACCCGGGCUAGAAACCAGGGCACAGAGGGUCAUGACCAGGCAGUCCAUCUUGCCCAAGCCAGUUUCCAGUUAGAUGCCUUUGGCUCCAAAUUUGUACUGGACCUAACGUUAAACAAUGACUUGUUGUCGUCGGAUUAUGUGGAGAUCCACUAUGAGGAGGGUAAACCUGUUCUAUCAAAGGGUGGUGAACACUGUUACUACCACGGCCAGGUGAGGGGGAAAGAUGAUUCCCACGUGGCCUUGUCUACCUGCAAUGGGCUGCACGGAAUGUUUGACGAUGGACUCUAUCUCUAUAUAAUGGAGCCUUUGCAACAGACUCACUCAAUUGAUACAGCCGCACGGCCCCACUCACUGCGCAGGAUGCCCAGCCUCCAGUGGAACAGUGACUCAGAGGAACUGGUGAAGGACGAGCGGCUGCUUUCGGAGCUGGACGACAUGUCCUGGCUGAAGCGCAGGAAAAAGCGGGCUAUGCCUAGGAAUGUAUUUGAGGAGAUGAAGUAUUUGGAGAUUAUGAUCGUCAGUGACCAUAAUAUGUAUAAGCGACUCAAGACCAAGCAGCACACCAGGAACUCUGCCAAGUCAGUGGUGAACCUUGUUGAUGCUAUCUUUAAGGAGCACCUGCACACACGGGUGGUUCUGGUUGCCGUGGAGAUCUGGUCGGACAAGGACCCGAUUCCCAUCAGUGUGAAGCCUCUGGACAUGCUGAAAGAUUUCUCUAAGUACCGGGCGCAGAGCAUCAAGCAGCACACUGACGCUGUGCACCUCUUCUCCAAUGUGACCUUCCACUAUCGCCGAAGCAGUGUAGCGUACUUCGGGGGGAUGUGCUCUGUGAGCCGUGGAGUAGGGGUCAACGAGUAUGGCACCACAUGGACCAUGGCUUCGUCACUCUCCCAGAGCUUGGCACAGAACCUCGGCAUCCAGUGGGAUCCAGCUGCAAAGAGAAAGGAAUGCGGCUGCUCUGACUCCUGGGUGGGCUGCAUCAUGGAGGACACUGGGGUCCAGCAUCCCCGGAAGUUCUCCAAGUGCAGCAUCGCAGACUACAAGGAGUUCCUGCUGAAGGGCGGUGGAUCAUGUCUCUAUAACAGGCCGACCAAGCUGUUUGAAUCUACAGAGUGUGGGAAUGGAUACAUUGAGGUGGGAGAGGACUGUGACUGCGGAGAUAGAACAGAGUGCUACAAGGACUGCUGUAAGAAGUGUUCCCUAGCUAAUGGUGCACAUUGCGCUGACGGACCUUGCUGCAACAACACUUGUCUGUUCUACCCACGUGGUUACAGUUGUCGCUAUGCGGUGAAUGACUGUGACAUCUCAGAGACAUGCUCAGGAGACUCUGGCCAGUGCCCUCCCAACCUCCACAAACAAGAUGGCUACCAAUGUCAAGUCGACCAGGGACGCUGCUACAGCGGAGAGUGCAAGACCAGAGGAAACCAGUGCAAAUAUCUCUGGGGCCCAAAGGCGGGAGGGUCUGAGAAGUUCUGCUACGAGAAGCUAAACACAGAAGGAACCGAGAAGGGUAACUGUGGAAAGGAUGGAGAUAAGUGGCUCCAGUGCAGCAAGCAUGAUGUGUUCUGUGGGUUCCUGCUGUGCAGUAACAUCGGACACAACCCCCGCAUCGGCAUGAUGAAGGGAGACAUCACUCGUACCUCCUUCUACCAUCAGGGCAGGCCGGUGAACUGCAGUGGUGGCCAUGUUCUUUUGGACGAUGAGACUGACUUAGGCUACGUGGAGGACGGAGCGCCCUGUGGGCCGUCCAUGAUGUGCCUUGACCACAAGUGUCUGCCCAUCCAGUCCCUCAACAUGAGCACCUGCCCCAGCGGGCCCAACGGCCAGGUGUGCUCAUCCCACGGGGUGUGUAACAACGAGGCGACGUGCACCUGUGACACCACCUGGGCGGGGACUGACUGCAGCAUGCCCGACCCUCCCAAGGAGCCUGCACCCACAGAAGACGAAGAACCAAAAGGUCCUAGUGCCACCAAUCUUAUAAUAGGCUCCAUCGCCGGUGCCAUCCUGGUGGCUGCCAUAGUGCUGGGGGGGACCGGAUGGGGCUUUAAGGUUCGAGGGUGAGAGUUUAAGCGGAAGUGGUGAGAGAGAAGCCAGGGCCAUAUUGUUGGCCGCAGCCUUUGUGUCAUGGCUGGCCACACCCACCUGGAUGGCCAGGCUCCGCCCUAGAGCAGAGCAGGACUCCCGGACCCGCCCACAACAGCUGCCAUUGCUGCCUGCUUCACAGACCUGGUACACACACGGCGCAUUGUACUGCAUGACCCACCACGCACAUCAAUAGAGCCAUCUCCAACUGGCCUACUAUUGAAACAGAAAUGUGAAGAAGCGAAAGUACGACCCCAACGCCAGCGCCAUAUAAGGUUGGAGGAGAGGUCAGCGGGCACAGAGGGAACCUUCUGGGCUUCCUUAGUACUCUACAGCUGGACUGCACUUACUGCGGAGGAUUUUUUGGGCAUUAGAUUUACUUGAAAAAUACAUAGAGGACAAUUUAACAUUAUCCAUCUUAGUCAUGUAGAGAUGUAGCCUUUUUCAACCCUAACAACCCACCUAACAACCUCACCCACCUACCGAACAACCCACCUAACAACCUCACCCACCUACCUAACAACCCAACUAACAGCCUCACCCACCUACCGAACAACCCACCUAACAACCUCACCCACCUACCUAACAACCCAGCUAACAACCCCACCCACCUACCUAACAACCCACCUAACAACCC